rnacentral:rRNA from 1 species
GGCUACCGCUAUUGGAGUUCGAUUAAGCCAUGCGAGUCUAGAGGCCUAGCCUCGGCGUACCGCUCAGUAACACGUGGGUAACCUACCCUAUGCUGGGGGAUAAGCUCGGGAAACUGAGAAUAAUACCCCAUAGUCCACUACGCCUGGAACGGUGAGUGGAUCAAAGCUCCGGCGGCAUAGGAUGGGCCUGCGGCGUAUCAGGUUGUAGGGGGUGUAACGUACCCUCUAGCCAUCCACGCGUACGGGUGUUGGGAGACAUUGCCCGGAGAUGGAUUCUGAGACACGAAUCCAGACCCUACGGGGUGCAGCAGGCGCGAAAACUUGGCAAUGCGAGAAAUCGUGACCAGGGAACUCCAAGUGGCAGGGGUAAGACCCUGUCUUUUUCCGACUCUAAAUAGGUCGGCGAAUAAGGGGUGGGUAAGGACGGUGCCAGCCGCCGCGGUAAUACCGGCGCCUCAAGUGGUAGUCGCUUUUAUUGGGCCUAAAACGUCCGUAGCCGGUCUGGUACAUUCGUGGGUAAAUCAACUCGCUUAACGAGUUGAAUUCUGCGAGGACGGCCAGACUUGGGACCGGGAGAGGUGUGGGGUACUCUCAGGGUAGGGGUAAAAUCCUGUCAUCCUGAGAGGACCACCUGUUGCGAAGGCUCCACACUAGAACGGAUCCGACGGUCAGGGACGAAGCCUAGGGGCACGAACCGGAUUAGAUACCCGGGUAGUCCUAGGUGUAAACGCUGUGGACUUGAUGUUGGGGACGCUCCGAGCGUUCUCAGUGUCGAAGCGAAGGUGAUAAGUCCACUGCCUGGGGAGUACGGUCGCAAGGCUGAAACUUAAAGGAAUUGGCGGGGGGGCACCGCAACCUGAGGAUUGUGCGGUUU